CUUGCGGCCACAUCACAUUGAAACACCGGUUCACGUACGAUCAUCGAAGUUAAGCCACGUCGGGGCCUGGUCAGUAUCUAGAUGGGUGACUACUUGGAAAGGCUAGAUGUUGUAAG